rnacentral:lncRNA from 1 species
AUGCUGCUGUAUGGCGCUGCAUGGCAUGCAGCACUGCACAGCGCAGCACUGCACAAUGCUGCUUGGUGCACCGCACUGCACAGCACUGCAUGGCGCACGGCACUGCACGGCAACGCACGGCACACUGCACUGCAUGGCGCUGCAUGGCAUGGCGCUGCACAGUGCUGCAUGGCACACGAUGCUGCAUGGCACGCAGCACUGCACAGCACAGCACACUGCACUGCAUGGCACUGCACGGCGCACAGCACAGCACUGCACCGCACUGCACAAUGCUGCAUGGCACACAGCGCUGCAUGGCACUGCAUAGCACAGCACUGCACGGCGCUGCAUGGCGCACUGCACUGCAUGGCACUGCACAGCACAGCACUGCAUUGGCACCACGUGGUGCUGCACGGUGCUGCUGCAUGGCUCUGCAUGAUGUUGUGUGGUGCUGCGUGGCACCACGUGGUGCUGCAUAGUUCUGCAUGGUGCUGCAUGGUGCUGCAUGGCGCUACGUGGUGCUGCGUGGUGCUGCGUGGUUCUGCAUGGUGUUGUAUGGCUCUGCAUUGUGCUACGUGGUGCUGCAUGGAGCUGCAUGGUGCUGCGUGGUGCUGCGUGGUGCUACGUGGUGCUGCGUGGCACCACAUGGUGCUGCAUGGCACCAGGUUCUGCAUGGUGCUGUGUGGCGCUGCAUGGCGCUGCAUGGUGCUGCAUGGUGCUGUGUGCUGCUGCAUGGCGCUGCAUGGUGCUGCAUGGCACCACACAGUGCUGCGUGGUUCUGCAUGGUGCUGUGUGGCGCUGCAUGGCGCUGCAUGGUGCUGCAUGGUGCUGUGUGCUGCUGCAUGGCGCUGCAUGGUGCUGCAUGGCACCACACAGUGCUGCGUGGUUCUGCAUGGUGCUGUGUGGCGCUGCAUGGCGCUGCAUGGUGCUGCAUGGUGCUGUGUGCUGCUGCAUGGCGCUGCAUGGUGCUGCAUGGCACCACACAGUGCUGCGUGGUUCUGCAUGGUGCUGUGUGGCGCUGCAUGGCGCUGCAUGGUGCUGCAUGGUGCUGUGUGCUGCUGCAUGGCGCUGCAUGGUGCUGCAUGGCACUACAUGGUGCUGCGUGGUUCUGCAUGGUGCUGUGUGGCGCUGCAUGGCGCUGCAUGGUGCUGCAUGGUGCUGUGUGCUGCUGCAUGGCGCUGCAUGGUGCUGCAUGGCACCACACGGUGUUGCGUGGUUCUGCACGGAGCUGCGUGGUGCCGCCUGGCACCGCAUGGCCCUGCAUGCCAUGUGGGCGCGGUGCAGCCGUGGGCGGAAGGAAUUGCGGCGCCGUGGGGCAGCGCCGGCACCCAAUGGGGCGGAGCUUGGCUGCGUGGGGCGGCUCUGCCCCAUAGAGCUGCCCCAUAG